rnacentral:lncRNA from 1 species
GGCUCACAAUCCCUUGAGACAGGAGAAGACAGGAAGGUGAUUCAUAUUGCAGAUCACGCUGCCUCUGAAGGACCCGUAGGGCUCUGUUAAAGCGGAGCCGGCAUCCUUCCGUCUUCCGCCUCCCUAACGAUUGUUGGGGUCACUGAGGCAGCAGACUCAGCCCGGAUGGAUUUCAUUGCGGGGGCCAUUGGAGCUCCACAUCUUUCUUGUGCUGAGGGCCCCAGACCCGGAUGCAGUACACCCGAUGGAGACCUGCAAGGGCAGAGUAGAAGGGGACAAUCAUCUCGCUCUCCCGGCUGGCCACUGCUCGGUUGAUGCAGCCCAGGGUAUGGUUGGCUUUCUAUGCUGCAAGUGCCCACUGCUGGCUUGCAUCAAGUUUCACAUCAACUGACAUCCCCAAGUCCUCAGAGCUGCUUGCAUUUUAUACUUGAGAUUGCACUGACACAGGUGCAGGACUUUUCAAUAACCAUUGAAUAGCAGCUCACCAGGAUGUCCUUCC